CGGCUGUGCUUGCUUGUCGGACAGUGUGUGACUUGCAUACGGGUUGCUGCGACGGCGGAGGAGGAGAGUGCUUUUAACGGAUACCGUUUAAUUUCGGAGUCUUUUCAGUCUAGGUCCGAGACAGGGCAGAGGAAAACGCAUUUUGCGCUAUGAAAAGGACUUUGAGUUGAGUGGAAUUCCGAACGAACCGUCGACAAGCUAGGACACAACGACGGAGAAACAAAACAGCAGUUGGAUAAAGACAAGAGGGAAGAAAGAAAAGGACGUGAUUGAGAGAAAGGAUCACCUUAUGGGGUAUCAAGGCCAUUUGGUCUUCAGGAGGUGCUCAAUCUGCCAGGGUACCAAGGCCAUUUGGUCUUCAGGAGGUGCUCAAUCUGCCAGGGUACCAAGGCCAUUAACCAAAACAGCCAAUUAAAUUGAUUUAAAAACCAUAAAACAGUAGCUAUUAAGAAACAUAGUAGUGUUUGUAAAUGGACAUAAACAAUUAGCCUACAUAUGUAUCGGCGAUAGCCUACGCGUAUUGGCUACAACCUGUCAUGUCCAGACCUAUGCUGAUAUGACACGCCUGAAAAUGAGACUUUUACAUAUAGUCAUGUUUUGACCAAUAUAAUGUGGGAGCGUUA
rnacentral:lncRNA from 13 species